GAGUUUGAUCCUGGCUCAGGAUAAACGCUGGCGGCGUGCAUGAGACAUGCAAGUCGAACGGACGAUCAGGGCUUGCUCUGAUCGUUAGUGGCGGACGGCUGAGUAACGCGUGGGUGACCUACCCCGAAGUGGGGAAUAACUGCCCGAAAGGGUGGCUAAUACCGCAUGUGAUCGUUGAUUCAUUUUUUCGAUCAAAGCCGCAAGGCGCUUCGGGAGGGGCCUGCGUCCGAUUAGCUCGUUGGUGGGGUAAUGGCUCACCAAGGCGACGAUCGGUAGGUGGUCUGAGAGGACGAUCACCCAGACUGGGACUGAGACACGGCCCAGACUCCUACGGGAGGCAGCAGUCGGGAAUUUUGCUCAAUGGGCGAAAGCCUGAAGCAGCAACGCCGCGUGAGGGAUGAAGGCCUUCGGGUUGUAAACCUCUUUUAUCAGGGACGAUUAUGACGGUACCUGAUGAAUAAGCCACGGCUAACUACGUGCCAGCAGCCGCGGUAAUACGUAGGUGGCAAGCGUUGUCCGGAUUUACUGGGCGUAAAGAGCGCGCAGGCGGUCGGAUAAGUCGAAUGUGAAAGCCCCCGGCUCAACUGGGG
rnacentral:rRNA from 1 species